rnacentral:tRNA from 1 species
CAGGGAGACAACAAAAUGUUUAAUAUUAUUAUUUUGUCACCUUAGGUCGAUCGGUAUCUCACGUUCUUAUUUUGUUAAGAAUUUCAAUUCCUAAGUUUUUCUAGGUCACACCCAUUAUUUUCCUGGGCCAUUAGCUCAGGUGGUUAGAGCGCACCCCUGAUAAGGGUGAGGUCCCUGGUUCAAGUCCAGGAUGGCCCAUAUCUCUAUGUUGGGGGUAUAGCUCAGUUGGUAGAGCGCCUGCUUUGCAAGCAGGAUGUCAGCGGUUCGAGUCCGCUUACCUCCACUGAUUACCACCUCUUCCAUAACCGGUAGAAAGGAAAUGUUUUGAGUUGUGAUCAUUAUUCUGAACGAAUCUAGCUUCCUAAUGAAAUCAUUAAGAUGCUGGACUCAUUGAAUUAAUUUCAUUGUUUUCAGAGAACCUUGACAACUGCAUAGAUUAUUUUUAAAGACAAUAAGCAUCUUUAAUGAUGCAGAUUUAUUAUUUGUGCGAAUGCAUUAAUAACAAUUCUAUUAAGCUGAUGCUUCAAUUUUUGGAGUUAUU